GCAUAAUGUUAGUGGUACUAACUGGCUCAUUGGUUCUCUUCCAGAAGAUAGCCAAAAGGUAGACAGCACAUAUAGGUGGGGCAAGGAAGGAUGAAAUACUCUGGAUGUAGUCAAACAGCUAGACGAAGACCAAGACGACGACAAACACACGGCCCACUAUGAGCAGCUCCGCAUCUGAGGGCUUGGCAUCUAUGCCCAUCCUUCUUGAUAUUUUCUUCCUGACCAACAUCCACACGUCGAUGGUGAAGAUGGUAGAUGCUGAAUUGAAGAUGGAGGUGAGGGAUGACAUGAGGGCUGCCAUCAUUACUGCCAACAUUAAACCUGACAGACCUGAAGAGAGAAUAUUGGUGAAGUGAGAAUGACAAUGGUGAGGCUAAAUUGAUGAUAAAAGUGGGCACAGCACAAACAGCCAAUAUUGUCAUCAGCAUCCUACGAGACAUAACUGGAAAUUAUAAGAAGUACUGUACAAUAAAAUCUCAUAACUUGGA